rnacentral:rRNA from 1 species
GACGAACGCUGGCGGCGUGCCUAACACAUGCAAGUCGAGCGGGGAACUUCGGUUCCCAGCGGCGGACGGGUGAGUAACACGUGGGUAACCUGCCUUAGUGAGGGGGAUAGCCUUCCGAAAGGAAGAUUAAUACCGCAUAACAUUAUUUUAUCGCAUGGUAGAAUAAUCAAAGGAGCAAUCCGCACUAAGAUGGACCCGCGGCGCAUUAGCUAGUUGGUGAGGUAACGGCCCACCAAGGCAACGAUGCGUAGCCGGCCUGAGAGGGUGAACGGCCACGUUGGAACUGAGACGCGGUCCAGACUCCGACGGGAGGCAGCGGUGGGCAAUAUUGCACAAUGGGCGAAAGCCUGAUGCAGCAACGCUGCGUGAGUGAUGAAGGCCUUCGGCUUGUAAAGCUCUGUCUUCUGGGACGAUAAUGACGGUACCAGAGGAGGAAGCCACGGCUAACUACGUGCCAGCAGCCGCAGUAAAAC